GACGAACGCUGGCGGCGUGCUUAACACAUGCAAGUCGAACGGAAAGGCCCUGCUUUUGUGGGGUGCUCGAGUGGCGAACGGGUGAGUAACACGUGAGUAACCUGCCCUUGACUUUGGGAUAACUUCAGGAAACUGGGGCUAAUACCGGAUAGGAGCUCCUGCUGCAUGGUGGGGGUUGGAAAGUUUCGGCGGUUGGGGAUGGACUCGCGGCUUAUCAGCUUGUUGGUGGGGUAGUGGCUUACCAAGGCUUUGACGGGUAGCCGGCCUGAGAGGGUGACCGGACACAUUGGGACUGAGAUACGGCCCAGACUCCUACGGGAGGCAGCGGUGGGGAAUAGUGCACAAUGGGCGGAAGCCUGAUGCAGCAACGCAGCGUGCGGGAUGACGGCCUUCGGGUUGUAAACCGCUUUCGCCUGUGACGAAGCGUGAGUGACGGUAAUGGGUAAAGAAGCACCGGCUAACUACGUG
rnacentral:rRNA from 1 species